rnacentral:rRNA from 1 species
UAGCCUACGGGACGCAGCAGUGGGGAAUAUUGCACAAUGGGGGAAACCAUGAUGCAGCGACGCCGCGUGAGUGAAGAAGUAAUUCGUUACGUAAAACUCUAUCAGCAGGGAAGAAACACUGACCUUACGGUCAGCAGACGGUACCUGAGUAAGAAGCCCCGGCUACCUACGUGCCAGCAGCCGCGGUAAUACGUAGGGGGCAAGCGUUAUCCGGAUUUACUGGGUGAAAAGGGAGCGUAGACGGUGCGCCAAGACUGGAGUGAAAAGCCGCAGCUUAACUGCGGAACUGCUU